rnacentral:miRNA from 1 species
GCUGGGGCCUUUCCCCAGCCUGCUAGACCUUCCCAUGGCUGCUGGCCUUGAACAAGAGCCUCCGUGUGUCCCUGGAUGGGGCCAGGUCU